AGAGGAUUGCUGCCUGGCUGCUCUAAUGCUGGGAUAAUGGGGCCAACAGUCAGCAAUUGGAAGGAAAGGAAGCCCAACAGCUGGGAUCCCUUGCUAGAAACUGGGGAAUUGAGAAGGGAAUUGGAAAAGAGGCAGCAAUUGGCACGGCUCCUCUGAA